GACGGAGGGUGCAAGCGUUGUUCGGAAUUACUGGGCGUAAAGCGCGGGCAGGUGGCCUUUUAAGUCCUUUGUGAAAUUCCGGAGCUCAACUCCGGAUGUGCAUAGGAUACUGGAAGGCUAGAGACUGGUAGAGGCGAGCGGAAUUCCUGGUGUAGCGGUGGAAUGCGUAGAUAUCAGGAGGAACACCGGUGGUGUAGACGGCUUUCUGGACCGUAACUGACGCUGAGACACGAAAGCGUGGGUAGCAAACAGG
rnacentral:rRNA from 1 species